rnacentral:lncRNA from 1 species
AAAUUAGCUGGGCAUGGUGGUGGGCACCUGCAAUCCCAGCUACUCAGGAGGCUGAGGCAGGAGAAUUGCUUGAAUCUGGGAGGCGGAGGGUUUUGGCCUCUGAAGCAACUGGGACUACAGGUGUGUGCCAUCAUGUCUGCCUUAUCAAUCCAAUUUCUAAGACUGUCAUUUGGUGUGGGAAUUCUAGUUCCUCUUUCCAAAGUGGAGGUUAUAUAAAAAUCAAGGAGAAAUUAUUCUAUUAUAUAUACUACAAAGAAAAUAAUGACUACUAAAGCUUAAAUUUAUAAUGCAUUAUGUAAUACAUAAAUCUCAAUUUAUUCAGCAAAUAGUGAGCACGUGGUCUGUACUAGACACUGGG